UCACCUGCCGAAGCAACUAGCCCUGAAAAUGGAUGGCGCUCUAGCGUCGUGCCUAUACCGGGCCGUCAACGGCAAAGUGGGCUAGUGUCCCGUCGGUUAACUCCGGCGGGCUUGGCCGUUAAGCCUUGACGAGUAGGAGGUGCGCGGCGGUGUGCACAGAAGGGUCUGGGCGCGAGCCUGCCUGGAGCCGCCGUCGGUGCAGAUCUUGGUGGUAGUAGCAAAUACUCUAGCGAGGGCCUGGAGGGCUGAUGUGGAGAAGGGUUUCUUGUGAACAGCCGUUGCACAAGAGUCAGUCGACCCUAAGCCCUAGGAGAAAUCCGAUGUUGAUGGGCAGCGAUCACGCGGCUGGUUCGGUUGGUGCGGUAAAACGCGCCUCCCGAUGGCCUACCGACUGCUCCCGUCGGGCGAAAGGGAAUCCGGUUCCUAUUCCGGAACCCGGCUGCGGAACCGUCACUUCGCGGGCACUCGCCUGCGAGCGCUCGUCGGGGUAACCCAAAAUGACCCGGAGACGCCGGCGGGAGGUCUGGAAAGAGUUGUCUUUUCUUUAUAAGCGUUCGAGUUCCCUGGAAUCCUAUAGCAGGGAGAUAGGGUUUGGAACGCGAAGAGCACCGCAGUUGCGGCGGUGUCCGGACCUUCCCCCCGGACCUUGAAAAUCCGGGUGAGGGCUACGCGGAAAUGUCGCGCCGGCUCGUACCCAUAUCCGCAGCAGGUCUCCAA
rnacentral:rRNA from 1 species